UACGUAGGGUGCAAGCGUUGUCCGGAAUUACUGGGCGUAAAGGGCGCGUAGGCGGUCAGCACAAGUCAGUUGUGAAAUCUCCGGGCUUAACCCGGAAAGGUCAGCCGAUACUGCGGGGCUAGAGUGCAGAAGGGGCAACUGGAAUUCUCGGUGUAGCGGUGAAAUGCGUAGAUAUCGAGAGGAACACCUGCGGCGAAGGCGGGUUGCUGGGCUGACACUGACGCUGAUGCGCGAAAGCUAGGGGAGCGAACGGG
rnacentral:rRNA from 1 species